rnacentral:rRNA from 1 species
CUGGCGCCUUCGGUGUCCGAGUUGUAAUUUGAAGAAGGCUACUUUGGAGUUGGCUCUUGUCUAUGUUCCUUGGAACAGGACGUCACAGAGGGUGAGAAUCCCGUGCGAUGAGAUGCCCAAUUCUUUGUAAAGUGCUUUCGAAGAGUCGAGUUGUUUGGGAAUGCAGCUCUAAGUGGGUGGUAAAUUCCAUCUAAAGCUAAAUAUUUGCGAGAGACCGAUAGCGAACAAGUACAGUGAUGGAAAGAUGAAAAGAACUUUGAAAAGAGAGUGAAAAAGUACGUGAAAUUGUUGAAAGGGAAGGAUUUGAGAUCAGACUUGGUAUUUUGC